rnacentral:rRNA from 1 species
CCCUUAGAUGUUCUGGGCCGCACGCGCGCUACGCUGAUGCAUUCAACGAGUGUACCUUGGCCGAGAGGCCUGGGCAAUCUUUUGAACGUGCAUCGUGAUAGGGAUAGAUUAUUGCAAUUAUUAAUCUUGAACGAGGAAUUCCUAGUAAACGCAGUUCAUCAAACUGCAUUGAUUACGUCCCUGCCCUUUGUACACACCGCCCGUCGCACCUACCGAUUGGAUGGUCCGGUGAAGCCUCGGGAUUGUGGCGGUUGCCUUUAUUGGUGGCCGCCGCGAGAACUUGUCUAAACCUUAUCAUCUAGAGGAAGGUGAAGUCGUAACA